rnacentral:rRNA from 1 species
GAGUUUGAUCCUGGCUCAGAAUGAACGCUGGCGGCGUGCCUAACACAUGCAAGUCGAACGAGAAAGCCCCUUCGGGGGUAAGUAGAGUGGCGCACGGGUGAGUAACGCGUGGAUAAUCUACCUACGAGUUUGGGAUAACUUCGCGAAAGUGGAGCUAAUACCGGAUGGUCUGGCGAUUAUAUAUUGAUUGUCGGUAAAGAUAGCCUCUUCCUGAAAGCUAUUGCUUGUAGAUGAGUCCGCGUCUCAUUAGCUUGUUGGCAGGGUAACGGCCUACCAAGGCGACGAUGAGUAGCUAGUCUGAGAGGAUGAUCAGCCACACUGGAACUGAAACACGGUCCAGACUCCUACGGGAGGCAGCAGUGGGGAAUAUUGGACAAUGGGCGCAAGCCUGAUCCAGCCAUGCCGCGUGAGUGAUGAAGGCCCUAGGGUUGUAAAGCUCUUUCACCGGUGAAGAUAAUGACGGUAACCGGAGAAGAAGCCCCGGCUAACUUCGUGCCAGCAGCCGCGGUAA